GUUUUAUUUGUUACUGGGUUCAUUAUCUCCCAAUACUUUCACUAAGAAAUAAUUGAUGAUAUAUAGGUAUGAGGCUGUUGUAUGGUCUAAAGAUUGUUGGCUUCUCAAGUAAAUUUAAGUUAAUAAGCAUUUAAACACUUUUAUGUUCUAGGCACCAUGCUAAGUGUGAUGGACAAAUAAAAGCAAAAGAAAGAGUUCUUCCCCUUGGGGUACUUAUAUCCUAAUGGAAGAAGACAGAACAUAAAGGAUUUGAAAGCAGGGGGAGUAGUGCUUACAUGGGACUAUGAUGGAGAAAGAAGUCUGUGGACUCAGAAGUGGGACUCAGUGAUGAAUUAACAAGAAAAAAUGGAGCACUUUAAUGUGGACUCAGCCAAAGAUACCUCAUGGAGAAGCAUGCUUAGAAUUAGAGAUUCCUGAUCCAGUUUUUGGCAAUCUGAGGAGGGAGUCUGUUGGCUAAUUAGAUUUUCUUAAGCACUCUUUUAAUAAGUCAAUAUUUUAAAACUAAAGAAUGACCUCCAGAGAAUUUCAUUCAUUACACCAACCAGAGAAGAGUCAAGGGAAGAACUGGGACAAGGACACUUAUUAAGUGGCUGAACUGAGUCUGAAGGAAGAGGACAUGAAUCCCAGGUAAAGCCAGUUCUGUCAUCUAAGAGAUUUGAUUUAAAGACCAAGACUAGAGAAACCAAAUACUCUCUCUGAGCCAACUUUACAGUCUGUCCUCAGGUAUAUGACCACCAUUGAAGUUGGAGGAGUCACAGAGUGAAUGAAGAGGGGGCAAAUAUAAGAAGAAAAGGCUGAAAUGUCAAAGAAGAAAACUCAGCAAGAGAGAAUGAUGAAUAACAACAAGCAAUUUCAGAAUAGGUCCUAAAUAAAAGACAAAUUUGAGAAUGGAUCUGUCA
rnacentral:lncRNA from 1 species